rnacentral:lncRNA from 1 species
CAGCAAUGAUGCACAGAGCAUAAUUACCACCCUGGGAGAGCCUAUGGGCCAUAACAACCAGUUGACCAAUCAACACAGGGCAAACCCUCCAAGCCUGGAGGCACACCAAUCCUGAGCCUGUGCAUACCCCUAGACUUUCCCCUUAGAAUGCUGCCCUAUAAAGAUCUGUACACAGCAGCUUCAAACUGUCUUUGCUAGCCAUCCGCCAUGGCGGGUGGGUGAAAGACCCAAGCAAACAUGGGGUUAGCUCGUUUAAAAAACAAAACAAAACAAUAAAGCCUCAUGCAGUUUGCAGCAAGCUCUCGAAUCCACCUGGUGAUUGGGGUGACCUCAGUUGUUGCCUGGGACCCUGGAUACCUGAGUUUUCCGGGGGGUCUUACAUUUCGGGGCUCGUCCUGGAUUUGCAACCACCCCUCACCUGAGUGGAGUCGAUCUUGGGGGUAAGCGGGUACCCUGUAUUGUCUGUGUCUUUGUGUUUUUGUGCCGGCUGAAAUCUGGUUCUGUGCUUUGCAGUCCCUCGAGUCUCGGGAAGAGACAAGAGCUCUGGUCUCUGGAGGAGACAGAGUGUGAUCAGCAGACAUGCUAGGAGAUCACCGACUGCCACCCUGGAAGACGUUCCAGGAAGUCUGUGGGAACCUCAGGGGCACUUGGGAGAUUGCCAUCUGGGAGCCGGUGAGGGUACGGUAGUUCUCCUGGAUUGGGGAAGUUAUACGCCCUCCUGGCUGUCUGUAUUUCUGGAGUGGUUUUGUCUGUCUAGGUGGAGACAGACAUCUGAUAGUUUUUGUCUGUGUGUCUUGGGUUUGUUUUUGUCUUAUUUGUGACUUUGAUGAUAGGACCGACCAUAACUAACCCCCCUCAGUCUGACUUUUGACCACUGGACGGACGUUAAGGACCAUAGUUAGUCAGUUAAAGUUACGACACCCCCUUUCGCUGAGUCACAUGGCACCACACUAGGUAACUUUAUUUUCCAGUCUUUGUUUCUGUAUGGUUUCUGUACAAGAAUUAUUUAGGGCAGAGGUUCAGAUGACAGCUUCUGCAGUCUGUAGGAGCGGGACCUGGUAGGAUCAAGUUGCUUGCUCCAUCUGUAAGGGGACCCAAGCAGGUCUCCCAAUCUGUAGGACAGGGACUUACUGGGAGCAAGUUGUCUGGUCCAUCUGUAAGAGGACCCAAGCAGGUCUCCCAAUCUGUAGGACAGGGACUUGCUGGGAGCAAGUCAUCUGAAAUUCCGAAUAGGACCCUGGUCUGUGUUACUGUACUGUCUGUCCACGUUUCACAUUUGUGUUGUGUGUUUGUUAAGCAUCUCUUUCUGUCCCUACUGCCCACACACGUGGUAUGCAUGGGUCAGGGGUCUUUUCUUGUUGCCCUGAGCACGUGGCUCGGGGCAGGAGUUCUGCCAUGUGUCACGGAUUAGAAUGUGUUGUGUUGGAGUCCCCUGAGACUGCUUCUCUGAACUUGAACUGCUGCUGUGGCCCUUACAGCUGAGCCUGGCCGACAUAGACAGACUGCCAGAUCCUGACAGUGACCCAAAGUCUCCAAAGAAGAUUAUGAGGCACCCCAGUUCCUGCACCUGGAUGAUGGUGACGCUCAUCAGUGAUUGAGAUGCUCAGAUGUGAUACUUGUUGCCUGUCACGACCUGGCCGAGACUGUGGACAAAGCUGCUGGACACUGGAAAAUUGAUUGUACCCCCUUUGCCUAGACAAAACAAGGUUUCUGCUUCUGGCAGACAUCUGAGUAUCAGUUGCUGACUACAGGCUGUUCUAAGUAGACUUCGAGCCCUGGACUUGCUGUGGAUAUGAACCAGUUCAGCUGAUAAAGACAUCCCCUGUCUCUGCAACAGAAUCUGCCAAUCAGAAGCUCCUGAUGGAUUCCCCAUUGCCUAAAUUCCUUUUUUGCUUUUGACUAGCAUUUCAACCUUCUGGGGUCCCUAACUUCGUCCCAAAGUCAGCAGGAAGUAGCUUGGGAAAGAAUUCACCACCCAUUUUCCCUGGUUAAAAUGCUAAAUCAGAAGGGACUCCCUUGCAUGGGGAUGCCAAUAUCUCUCACUCCCUGAUGGGGGCGCUAGAGAGACAGCAAUUCCAUGAUUGGAAUUUCCAAAAAAGAAAAUGGGGGAAUGAAGGGACCAGCUCCCCAUUUCGGCAGCCACGACAGUAACACGUGCUUGCCAUAACCUUGCCUGGGUCACUUAGAGGUCAGAUGCCUGCCUUGUGGCAAGGAACCAAUCAGAAGUUAGCUGGUGGUGCUAUGCUUUAUGGCUCUGGAUGUGCUUUACAGACAAGCGCACAGCAAUGAUGCACAGAGCAUAACAACCACCCUGGGAGAGCCUAUGGGCCAUAACAACCAGUUGACCAAUCAACACAGGGCAAACCCUCCAAGCCUGGAGGCACACCAAUCCUGAGCCUGUGCAUACCCCUAGACUUUCCCCUUAGAAUGCUGCCCUAUAAAGAUCUGUACACAGCAGCUUCGAACUGUCUUUGCUAGCCAUCCGCCAUGGGUGGGUGAAAGACCCGAGCAAACAUGGGGUUAGCUCGUUUAAAAAACAAAACAAAACAAUAAAGCCUCAUGCAGUUUGCAGCAAGUUCUCGAAUCCACCUGGUGAUUGGGGUGACCUCGGUUGUUGCCUGGGACCCCGGAUACCUGAGUUUUCCGGGGGUCUUACAGAGUUAACUCCAUCCUCUCCCGUUUACCUUGCUCUUAUAGGCAGCAUCCCUUUUUCUCUGUGAGGUGGCAUGCUUCCAGUAGUUCAAACAUUGAACACACUGUAUGCUGACUGAAAGGUGAGGUGUUCUGGGGACUGAGAC